rnacentral:rRNA from 1 species
CCCAGACUCCUACGGGAGGCAGCAGUGAGGGAUAUUGGGCAAUGGGGGAAACCCUGACCCAGCGACGCCGCGUGAGGGAAGACGGUCUUCGGAUUGUAAACCUCUGUCUUUGGGGACGAAAAAGGACGGUACCCAAGGAGGAAGCUCCGGCUAACUACGUGCCAGCAGCCGCGGUAAUACGUAGGUGGCAAGCGUUGUCCGGAUUUACUGGGUGUAAAGGGCGUGCAGCCGGAGAGACAAGUCAGAUGUGAAAUCCACGGGCUCAACCCGUGAACUGCAUUUGAAACUGUUUCCCUUGAGUGUCGGAGAGGUAAUCGGAAUUCCUUGUGUAGCGGUGAAAUGCGUAGAUAUAAGGAGGAACACCAGUGGCGAAGGCGGAUUACUGGACGAUAACUGACGGUGAGGCGCGAAAGCGUGGGGAGCAAACAGGAUUAGAUACCCCAGUAA